rnacentral:lncRNA from 1 species
GAACAUAGCCUGAGGCUAUGUUUGGUACAAAGAAUAAAAGAAGAAUAAGAGAUUUAUUUCUCUUAUUCUUUCAAACGGUAUAAAAAAUUGCCCAGAACUUAUUACGAAAUAACCCGUUAAGAGAGGAGAAUAAUAGCCACCUAUUUGGUGGAACAAGUUAUUCUCUAUCUUAUUCGUCUACUAAUUAAGUUAUAAAUAAUUAUAAAUUAUAAUUAAUUAAUAAAACUAAAUUUUUUAAUAAUUGACUAAUUAAUUAUUUAAGUUAUUAAAUUAAUAAAUAUUUAAAUAAUAAUUUAUUUAUAAUUUAUUAUUAUUUAUCUGAUUAAAUAGUUAGCCAUAUGAUACAAUCAUUAACUAAUAUUUAUAUUAUUUAAAUAAUUAGUAUUUUAAUUUAUAUAAUUAAUAUAUUAACUAAAAAAAAUAAAUGAUUAAAUAAUUAAUUACUAUUAACAUGUUGACUUAUUUUUUUUAUAGCUAUAUACUAAUUAAUGUCAUCUUUGUCCUCUCAUAUAGUAAUUUUAAUUAAUUUAUAAAGUAAGUUUGAUUAAUUUAUUUGUUAACUUAUUAAAAUAUUAUUUACUAAUACGUACUUAGAUGCUUAAUAUUUAGAUAAAUUAUUAGUUUUAUUUUUCAUCAUAAUUACUCUUAUCUCUACUAUUCCAAGUCAAUCAACCAAACCUAAUUUUUCUUAUUCCUCUAAAUAUCUCGAUUCUCGUCCAAACACAAAAUUGAAUUAAUUCCUACUUAUUCCAUAAGUUAUUCCUAUCCCAAGAAUAAACAAAAAUAUCUUGUUCUCGAAUCAAACGGUACAAAUUUUUUAAAUAAAAUUGUUUAUAAUUUUUUCAUCUAAAUUAUUUAUUUUGCAACAAAAAAAUAAAAAUUUAAAAUAAUUUUUUUAUUUUAAGAUUAUCUUAAAU